CUAGAGUUUGAUCAUGGCUCAGGAUGAACGCUGGCGGCGUGCCUAAUACAUGCAAGUCGAGCGAACGGACGAGAAGCUUGCUUCUCUGAUGUUAGCGGCGGACGGGUGAGUAACACGUGGAUAACCUACCUAUAAGACUGGGAUAACUUCGGGAAACCGGAGCUAAUACCGGAUAAUAUUUUGAACCGCAUGGUUCAAAAGUGAAAGACGGUCUUGCUGUCACUUAUAGAUGGAUCCGCGCUGCAUUAGCUAGUUGGUAAGGUAACGGCUUACCAAGGCAACGAUGCAUAGCCGACCUGAGAGGGUGAUCGGCCACACUGGAACUGAGACACGGUCCAGACUCCUACGGGAGGCAGCAGUAGGGAAUCUUCCGCAAUGGGCGAAAGCCUGACGGAGCAACGCCGCGUGAGUGAUGAAGGUCUUCGGAUCGUAAAACUCUGUUAUUAGGGAAGAACAUAUGUGUAAGUAACUGUGCACAUCUUGACGGUACCUAAUCAGAAAGCCACGGCUAACUACGUGCCAGCAGCCGCGGUAAUACGUAGGUGGCAAGCGUUAUCCGGAAUUAUUGGGCGUAAAGCGCGCGUAGGCGGUUUUUUAAGUCUGAUGUGAAAGCCCACGGCUCAACCGUGGAGGGUCAUUGGAAACUGGAAAACUUGAGUGCAGAAGAGGAAAGUGGAAUUCCAUGUGUAGCGGUGAAAUGCGCAGAGAUAUGGAGGAACACCAGUGGCGAAGGCGACUUCUGGUCGUAACUACGCUAGCGACGUGCGGGG
rnacentral:rRNA from 1 species